rnacentral:rRNA from 1 species
UACAGAGGGUGCUAGCGUUGUUCGGAAUCAUUGGGCGUAAAGGGCGUGUAGGCGGUUUGUUAAGUCAUGUGUGAAAUCCCUCGGCUCAACCGGGGAACGACGCAUGAAACUGGCAAGCUAGAGUACCAAAGAGGGGGGUGGAAUUCCCGGUGUAGCGGUGAAAUGCUUAGAUAUGACAUAGAACACCAAUUGCGAAGGCAGCUCGCUACACAUAUAUUGACUCUGAGGCACGAAAGCGUGGGGAUCAAACAGG